rnacentral:rRNA from 1 species
GACGAACGCUGGCGGCGUGCCUAAUACAUGCAAGUAGAACGCUGAAGGAGGAGCUUGCUCUUCUGGAUGAGUUGCGAACGUGUGAGUAACGCGUAGGUAACCUGCCUGGUAGCGGGGGAUAACUAUUGGAAACGAUAGCUAAUACCGCAUAACAGUAGAUGUUGCAUGACAUUUGCUUAAAAGUUGCAAUUGCAUCACUACCAGAUGUAUCUGCGUUGUAUUAGCUAGUUGGUGGGGUAACGGCUCACCAAGGCGACGAUACAUAGCCGACCUGAGAGGGUGAUCGGCCACACUGGGACUGAGACACGGCCCAGACUACUACGGGAGGCAGCAGUAGGGAAUCUUCGGCAAGGGACGGAAGUCUGAACGAGCAACGCCGCGUGAGUGAAGAAGGUUUUCGGAUCGUAAAGCUCUGUUGUAAGAGAAGAACGAGUGUGAGAGUGGAAAGUUCACACUGUGACGGUAGCUUACCAGAAAGGGACGGCUAACUACGUG